ACAAGCCAAUCGGCUUCACCGCGGUCCGGGUUAUAAAGUCUCCACAGACUCGCCGGGACUCAGCUUCUCCCCACAGGCGGACGGUCUGUGCCAUGGCGCCCCGAGCCCUCCUCCUGCUGCUGUCGGGGGCCCUGGCCCUGACCCAGACCCGGGCGGGCUCCCACUCCCUGAGGUAUUUCCACACCGCCGUGUCCCGGCCCGGCCGCGGGGAGCCCCUCUACAUCUCCGUGGGCUACGUGGACGACACGCCGUUCGUGCGGUUCGACAGCGACGCCGCGAGUCCGAGGAUGGAGCCCCGGGUGCCGUGGAUGCAGCAGGAGGGGCCGGAGUACUGGGACCGGGAGACGCGGACCGUCAAGAGCAACGAACAGACUUCCCGAGUGAACCUGAACACCGCCCGCGGCUACUACAACCAGAGCGAGGCCGGGUCUCACACCCUCCAGUGGAUGAACGGCUGCGACAUGGGGCCGGACGGGCGCCUCCUCCGCGGGUACAGACAGUUCGCCUACGACGGCGCCGAUUACAUCGCCCUGAACGAGGACCUGCGCUCCUGGACCGCGGCGGACACGGCGGCGCAGAUCACCCGGCGCAAGUGGGAGGCUGCCGGUGCGGCGGAGCACGUCAGGAACUACGCGGAGGGCAGGUGCCUGGAGUGGCUGCGCAGGUACCUGGAGAUCGGGAAGGAGACGCUGCAGCGCGCAGAACCCCCAAAAAGACAUGUGACCCACCACCGCUUCUCUGACCGUGAGGUCACCCUGAGGUGCUGGGCCCUGGGCUUCUACCCUGCGGAGAUCACCCUGACCUGGCUGCGUGAUGGGGACGACCUGACCCAGGACACAGAGCUUGUGGAGACCAGGCCUUCAGGGGACGGAACCUUCCAGAAGUGGGCAGCUGUGGUGGUGCCUUCUGGGGAGGAGCAGAGAUACACAUGCCAUGUGCAGCAUGAGGGGCUGCUCAAGCCCAUCACUCUGCAGUGGGGCCUUCACCUUCCCUUCCCUCCCCAGAGCCACCUCAGCCCACCAUCCCCCUCGUGGGCCUCAUUGCCGGCCUGGUCCUCUUCGGGGUCACUGGAGCUGCGGUGGCUGGAGCUGUGAUGUGGAGGAAGAAGCGCUCAGGAGGAAAAGGAGGGAGCUAUGCUCAGGCUGCAAGUGGUGACAGUGACCAGGGCUCUGAUGUGUCUCUCACGGCUGCUAAAGUGUGAGGCGGCUGCCUUGUGGGGACUGGGUGAUGCAAGAUUUGUUCGUGUUCCUCUGUGUGACAUCGUGUUCCCUGCCUCUUUCUGCAAAGAGCAUUUGAAUGGGUCUGUGUUCCUACUAGCAUAAUGUGGGGAGGUGGGAAGACUGGUCCACCACUGCCCACCAGGACCCUUCCCCACACUGACUGCCUUCUCUUCCCUGAUGGACUGUCCUGUUCCAGCAGAGGUGGUCUGGGCCUUGUCUUCACUUCAUGUUGGGCUGAGUAGUAUGGUCUUACUAAUUGAAAAUGAGAAUCUGUUAUGCAUUUGUGUUUUUUUAAUUCUUGCCAUAGGGGUUGAUAUAUUAAUUAAAGGGGAAGAAUCCUAAUGUUGAGAGAAGAAAUAAAUGGAAGCACUGAGAACUUCCAGAAUCUG